GACGAACGCUGGCGGCGUGCCUAAUACAUGCGAGUCGAGCGAAUCAAUAGGAGCUUGCUCCUGUUGGUUAGCGGCGGACGGGUGAGUAACACGUGGGCAACCUGCCUGUAAGACUGGGAUAACAUCGGGAAACCGGUGCUAAUACCGGAUAAUCCUUUUCCUCUCAUGAGGAAAAGCUGAAAGACGGUUUCGGCUGUCACUUACAGAUGGGCCCGCGGCGCAUUAGCUAGUUGGUGAGGUAACGGCUCACCAAGGCGACGAUGCGUAGCCGACCUGAGAGGGUGAUCAGCCACACUGGGACUGAGACACGGCCCAGACUCCUACGGGAGGCAGCAGUAGGGAAUCUUCCACAAUGGACGAAAGUCUGAUGGAGCAACGCCGCGUGAGCGAUGAAGGCCUUCGGGUCGUAAAGCUCUGUUGUUAGGGAAGAACAAGUACCGGAGUAACUGCCGGUACCUUGACGGUACCUAACCAGAAAGCCACGGCUAACUACGUGCCAGCCGCCGCCGUAAAAC
rnacentral:rRNA from 1 species